rnacentral:rRNA from 1 species
UACAGAGGGGGCAAGCGUUGUUCGGAAUUACUGGGCGUAAAGGGCGCGUAGGCGGCCUGCUAAGUCGAACGUGAAAUCCCCGAGCUCAACUCGGGAACUGCGUCCGAUACUGGCAGGCUUGAAUCCGGGAGAGGGAUGCGGAAUUCCAGGUGUAGCGGUGAAAUGCGUAGAUAUCGGGAGGAAUACCGAUGGCGAAGGCAGGUCUCUGGGCUGACACUGACGCUCAUGCACGAAAGCGUGGGGAGCAAACAGG